CACGUAGGGUGCGAGCGUUGUCCGGAAUUAUUGGGCGUAAAGAGCUCGUAGGCGGUGUGUCGCGUCGGCCGUGAAAACCUGCAGCUUAACUGUGGGCUUGCGGUCGAUACGGGCAUCACUGGAGUUCGGCAGGGGAGACUGGAACUCCUGGUGUAGCGGUGAAAUGCGCAGAUAUCAGGAGGAACACCAGUGGCGAAGGCGAGUCCCUGGACGAUACCUGACACUGAGGCACGAAAGCCAAGGGAGCAAACAGG
rnacentral:rRNA from 1 species